rnacentral:lncRNA from 1 species
UCAGCCUGGCAAGCUCAAGAUCCUUGCUCAUCUUCCUCCUAUACAUCUCAGCAAAUGUGAUGGGCUCCUCAAGGAUUGGUUUCUCUCCCUCUCUGAUCUUCAAUGGAUACACUGUGGCAUCGGGUGCUGGAUUUUGGAAUGUGGCUAUUGACAAUCUGCUGCAGUCUGAGUUCACCACUGCUUGGUGAUCAGCAUUCUUGAACCUCCCAUUGCUCAGAUACUGCUCACCAUCAAUCAUUUCAGUCAUUACUCCACUCUCACUUAAAUCAUAACAAUUUCAAUUUUUUUUUUCCAAGUAAAAAACUUACAUGGCCAUGGUCUCCAAGGUUGACCACAAAGGCUCCUUCCACAGGUUGGACAGUGAUCCAAGUCUUGCCAUUGUCCCGGGUGGCCUGAAGCCCACCAACUUGGUCUUGAAGCAAGAGUGUGAUGGUGCCUGGGUCAGUGUGGCGCUUGAGUCCUAAAGUGAGGUCAGGUUGAGGGCAUUUAGGAUAGAAGUUAACCACCACUUUCUGAUCCAUGUCCACACAUGCCUUUGUCAAGGCCUCCUUCUCUAAACCCAUGGCCUCUGACAACACCUCAAGAAGCUUGCAAGCUAGGCCCAUCAACUUCUCGCUGUACUCCUUUGUAACUUCAACCCAACCCUCUGGCUUAUCAGGCCACCUUGAAUAGUCCCUGCUCCUCAAUGGGUAUGAAAAGUAUGUCACAAUCUCUCGCCAAUCUUGCACUGCUUCU